CAUCCCUGCAGCUUUGACAGCUUUACUUGGCUGCGACUGGCUGGGUUUACUUAAUAGUUGGACCAAAAAGUGUUACCUAGUAGCAGGCGCUUGCGCUCACGCACACUUCCCCAAACUCGCGACUGAAUGCAUUAGCUGCUCUGCUUCAUCCCUCUGUGAGCCCGCCUCCGUUCCCCAGUCCCCAUCCGUGAUUACUCCGUGCUCGGCUUACAAAGGACGCUAUCACACAUGACAGCCUCCAUUUAAAUGGGGAGUGGAAGGGACACAGAACUACAUGUAAAGGAUGUGGGAUAACCUUACCUUUCCCUUUGUGUACAGAUCUUCCACAUUAGCCCCGGAUGUGUGUUCCUUCAUUGUCACCUGUAAAACAACCAAGAGACGGUGCUGAUGGACAUCUCGGUCCAAAACCACACCUUUGAAAAGAAGACUGAUGAGCUUUUUAACUAACUAUGUGAGACGAAAGAAUAGCCAUGUAAUCAGGGAGGAGGGCAGACACCAAAAUCAUCUCAACACAAUCCUCGGGAGUCCCAAACAAAAAUGACCACAACCUGCCAAGAUCUCUGAAUUCUCUGGGAUGCUGCAGUGCUGCGAGAAAAGACAUGUGCACCUGCGUCAUUUCUACAUUAUAUUGCUGUCAACCCAUUUGCUGAUCCAGUUUGCCCAUCCUUUGAAUAAGAUGACAUACUUCUGCUUCAGAUUAAAGAAUUAUUUAAGGGGGAUCAGACCAA